rnacentral:lncRNA from 1 species
UGGCUGAUUACAGGUAAAUCGGUAAUUUCUUUUUGACAGUGGCGUGUAUUCUGGGGUGUGGAACAUCCUGUCCAUGUGUAAUACUUUAUAUAUUUUCCAACAAAUGACAUUACACAAAUGUUUCUUCUGUUAAAUGAAUGAUUUGUAUAUCAUCAUAAUUUGCUAUUUAUAUAAACCACAUUUUUGUACAAUGAAUAUUUACCAUAUUAACCUUGAAUAUUAUGAAUGUAGAAUGAAAUAUGUCUAC